AGCAGUAGCCGCGGUAAUACGUAGGUCCCGAGCGUUGUCCGGAUUUAUUGGGCGUAAAGCGAGCGCAGGCGGUUAGAUAAGUCUGAAGUUAAAGGCUGUGGCUUAACCAUAGUACGCUUUGGAAACUGUUUAACUUGAGUGCAAGAGGGGAGAGUGGAAUUCCAUGUGUAGCGGUGAAAUGCGUAGAUAUAUGGAGGAACACCGGUGGCGAAAGCGGCUCUCUGGCUUGUAACUGACGCUGAGGCUCGAAAGCGUGGGGAGCAAACAGGAUUAGAACCCGAGUAGUCCCUGUCUCUUAUACAC
rnacentral:rRNA from 1 species